rnacentral:rRNA from 1 species
AGUAAAAGUCGUAACAAGGUUUCCGUAGGUGAACCUGCGGAAGGAUCAUUAUCGUACAACGGAGGCGCGAGGGCUGUCGCUGACUUUUCAAAGGUCGUGCACGCCCAAGUGUUCUCAAUCCAUCUCACCCCUUGUGCAUCACCGCGGGGGCCCCUUUGGGCUUGUUCCAAAGGGUGCUCACGUUUUAACACAGACACCCAUUUGAAUGCAGUGUAGAAUGUUCUUCAUGUAAUGAAUCAAUAAUACAACUUUCAACAACGGAUCUCUUGGCUCUCGCAUCGAUGAAGAACGCAGCGAAAUGCGAUACGUAAUGUGAAUUGCAGAAUUCAGUGAAUCAUCGAAUCUUUGAACGCACCUUGCGCCCCUUGGCAUUCCGAGGGGUACACCCGUUUGAGUGUCGUGACAUCUUCAACCCUUCUUGGUUUCUUGAUCAAGAAGGCUUGGAAUCUGGAGGCUUUUGCUGGCCUUCCUUGAAGCCAGCUCCUCUUAAAUGAAUUAGUGGGGUUCACAUCGGUUCGAUCCUGGACGUGAUAAGAUGCUUCUACGUCUUGGGUUUUGAUCUGUCCCCUCGCUUCUAACCGUCUCGUAGGAGACUCUGUUCGGGCCCCACCACCACCCUUCGUUGGGUGGGAAGCCUGACCCACGAAACCUUGACCUCAAAUCGGGUGAGACUACCCGCUGAACUUAAGCAUAUNNNNNNNNNNNNGAAAAGAAACUAACAAGGAUUCCCCUAGUAACUGCGAGUGAAGCGGGAAAAGCUCAAAUUUAAAAUCUGAUGGUCUUUUGGUCAUCCGAGUUGUAAUUUAGAGAAGUGUCUUCCGCGCUGGACCGUGCACAAGUCUCCUGGAAUGGAGCCUCAUAGAGGGUGAGAAUCCCGUCUUUGGCACGGAUGCCCAGGGCUUCUGUGAUGCGCUCUCGAAGAGUCGAGUUGUUUGGGAAUGCAGCUCAAAAUGGGUGGUGAACUCCAUCUAAAGCUAAAUAUUGGCGAGAGACCGAUAGCGAACAAGUACCGUGAGGGAAAGAUGAAAAGCACUUUGGAAAGAGAGUGAAACAGUACGUGAAAUUGUUGAAAGGGAAACGCUUCAAGUCAGUCGCGUCGACCGAGACUCAGCCUUGCUUUGGCUUGGUGUAUUUCUCGGCCGACGGGUCAGCAUCGAUUUUGACCCUCGUAUAAUGGCAAGGGAAAGGUGGCGCCUUUUAUAGGCGUGUUAUAGUCUCCUGUCGGAUGCGAGGGGUCGGGAUCGAGGAACUCAGCACGCACCUCUCGGUGGUCGGGGCUUUGGCCCACGCUACGUGCUUAGGAUGCUGGCGUAAUGGCUUUAAACGACCCGUCUUGAAACACGGACCAAGGAGUCUAACAUGCCCGCGAGUGUUCGGGUGGAAAACCCGUGUGCGUAAUGAAAGUAAAAGUUGGGACCUCUGUCGUGGAGGGCACCGACGCCCGGACCAGACCUUCUGUGACGGAUCUGCGGUGGAGCGUGCAUGUUGGGACCCGAAAGAUGGUGAACUAUGCCUGAAUAGGGUGAAGCCAGAGGAAACUCUGGUGGAGGCUCGUAGCGAUUCUGACGUGCAAAUCGAUCGUCAAAUUUGGGUAUAGGRGCGAAAGACUAAUCGAACCAU